UAUUGAGAUUGAUAUGAAGCCUUGCUCGUGUGCGCUUGCGAUGGUUGUUGAAGCGAGGCAGGCGAUGAAGAUGUGUGAAGAUUUUGUGGAGAGGAAGGUGACGAAGAAGAUAGGAGAUUGAAGUUUCUUGAAGGUUUUGCAUAGUUGCAAAAAUGGAGAAGAUUAGAAGAUGGUGACAAAGCCGAAAGGGAUUAAAUCAUUCUAACAAAAAUGGAAGAGCAUGGAAUCAUGAACAUAUCGGAGGAAUUGUAGUUGGAAGGUUCAAGCCCUAAUUCCGCUCCCUUCACGUCAACAAAAUGGACUCAAGGCCAAAACUUCAACCGAUAUCAAGAACAACAUGGAAACGAGGCUAACAAUUCACACUAGCAAUGGAAUGAAAACAUGACGCCAUUAGUUAUGAUAAAUCGAAGUAACUUACCAGAAUGAAGCACCGCAGAGGUUCCGGUGUCGUCGAUGUCGCUCACAGGUGAGUUUCUCUAUGUGCUUUCUGCAAUUUCCUCUUCUUCUUUCUUCCUCUUCUGAAUUCACGAGCGAUGAAAAGAGACUGAGGAGGCUUAGCUCAAGCAGAAUUGAAGCUUCGAUGUGAAGCUUCAAUGGCUUUUUUGAAAGAGAAAAAGAGCUCUGGUGAGGGUGAGGGAAAAGGUUGCAAGAGAGAGAGAGAGUGCAGGUUUAUGCCAAAAAAUGCCAAGGGCUCAAAAUGUGAGUGAUCAAGCCCUUAAAUAGAGUUGAGGUUCGGGACUUGCUAGCUUCGGAUUGAGGUUAGGAAUUAGUUGAGGGUGGCUUGGAGUUAGUUAAACUCAACUCACUGAGUUAAAUGGAAAAACUCAGUUAGUUAUAUUAGGGAAACUCAGUUAGUUAUGUGUGUAGAUGUUGGUUAGUGAGUGAGUGGGAACUUGACUGGCUGUUGCAGGUUACUGUUAGAUUAAUGUCACAUUGGAAGGGUUUUUAAUGACUUGUUGUUUAUGUUGCAGGUUAGGAACUUUGGCUUGGACUUAUGAAAGGCUUUGGUGUGUGGAAACAAAUGAGUACGUUAGCUGUGAAUCGAACUGGAUUCUGCUAUAUCAUUUUAGAUGUUAGAUCAAAGAUUGCUAAUGAUAGUUAGCUUAUGCAGGUGUUGCUUGGACCCUGUGAAGCUAUGCGAAACCGAGUCAAGCAUUCCAUCUUCCAAACACAAGGCAACGUGUCGCUUCUACCAUAACUUCACUGCACCCUUGGCCAUCGGCGGAGGCUAGCCAUAAACCUUUUGUGACUUGCUCCGGUGUCGGAGAGGAAGUUGUUAAUGCCCGCUUGGAUUAACUGAAAAACUACUUCGGGUUUGUUGGAAGUCUUGUUCAACCGAAAACCGGUGUGGCGGAGAGAUUCCAUCAAUGAGGUUUGUUAAUCUACUAAGAAAACCUAUUUAAUGACUAUUAUGUUAUGGUUUUUUUUGCUUUCUGUUAUGGUUUUUAAGUGAAAACCGUUGGUUGUAAUGGACUGGUGAUGUUAAUUUGUUGGGAGAUUGUUAUUGCAUUCCGUUAUGGUCAAUUCAGUUGGGUCGUGUACAUGUGGUCAUGGUAGUGCAGACUGGUAUGGUGCAGAGUUCUCUAAAGUUAACUCUCGGCUUUGCUUGAAUUUUCAGGAACAACCCCGAGGCUAAAAUGGAAUGAAGACAUUCAAGCUGUCUAUGGAGAGCAACAAGAUGCAGUGACGUAGCACCAUUUCCACAUUUUAUAUUCACAAAUCUGGCAAAUCCCCAAGAAUCUGCUACAGGCGUGGAAUGAGCAGCUGAACGAAUAGCCUUUAGGAAAUCUACAUGGCCACAACAUGCAACAUAGUUCAAGCAAGUUCUUUGACAAAUAGAAUCAAACAUCAAUAUAUUAGCUCCAGCUUGAAUAAGCUUUUCCAUGCAACCGUUCUUUCCAUGCAUCACAUCCAACUUUAAUGACGUCUGUUUGUGACGAUUCAAGACAUCAACUUUACCAUUCUGCUCCAACAACAUGGAAAGCACCUCGAUCCGACCAUGAAGAGGAGGCAAACUAGCUAAACCAAUAGUUCUAUCCAACACGUUCAUAAGAUCAUCAACCAUAGCUUCAACAACAUCCAAAACCAUUGGCAAACAAAAGUGAUAAUUUUUAUUGUUUGUGGUAAAUUGUGUCAUGAAUUGCCGUGAAUUUGUUAUGUUGUUGGUCUUUUGUUCAGUUGGUGAAACAAUCUGUUGAAAAUUGUUGGCUUUGGUUGAAAUUCUGUUGCAUUUUGCAGGUUUAGCCGAGGCCAUUAGAAGUUGUUUAGAUGUGUCGUCUUCAACACCAACAAUUACCUUAACGGAAUUCGUAGGACCAUCUUCAUUUCCAUCUUGUAAAUUCAAUGCCAAGAUUUCUGUCAUACUCAUUUUCGACCCUUACAGCUCUCAUUUUAGUUGCUUCUCUAACUUGGCUUCUUUGUGGAAAGAUAAGCAAGGGGUGAAUGCAAAGCACGGUCUGGAGGAAUCACAGUCCUUUGGGAGUAAUUCAGAGAGUGGCGAAGUUCCAAUAUAAGAAGGAAGUGGGAGAUUUCCUAGAAGCAAUCAAACACAAUAGAGUAUCAAGAGUAGGUUGAGCCAUGCAGUGGAAGAUUUGCAGCUAAGAAGUCAGGUAGAAAAUAUGGAACUUGAUGACCAUGCAGUUGUCAGUAUUUUCCAUUUUCAAUGCAGUUAUGGAGUGGUCAGCAGGGCAGAAGCCGUUGUAGGAUCUGCUGCUGAAGCAUCACUGCUGGUUGCCAACCUCGUUGUUUAUCAUCAUGAAAUUGCAGGUGGAUCCUGCUGUAUUUUGUUGCUGCGUUUUGUCAAACACCAAGCCUUGUUUCUGCAUGUUCUAUUAUUAGUGUUUUGUACAUGUCCAUGAGGUACCACAACUCAGACAAUCCCUUCUAUUCUCUGCACCAAGACCCGUAAUCGUCGUGCUGACGUUCUUCGCUCAGUAUCACUCCACCUACAAAAUUCUGGGAAUAAUUAUAGGCGAGCCUAAAUACACUGACCACCAACAACGGAAAUACAACACCAAAACUUCUAAGCGACAAUGAUUUCAGGUUCCUCCAGACCAGUUCUCACUUCAGCCCUUAAUUCAACUGCACGUUCAUCUCUCUACCUUCAAUUCAUAAAAGCAAUGCCAUGAGUUGGUUUAUCCACUCCAAUUGAGAAUCUCCCGAUAAAGAACUCAAGGAAAGCAUCAAGCUCAGCUUCAUACUGAAAUAGCAUUCCUGGCUUCGUUAAGGUAAAUACUUUUACCAACUAAUCUUUCAACAUGGCUGACAUUUCAAUGUCCACUCUAGCAGCAUCAACUUGGUUGACUCUUGUUAUCGAGAUUGGGAUCAUUGAUCGGAGAGGGAGGGAAACAGACGUCCAACGAGAGAACAGGUAGCGGGAAGUGAGAGUUCAUGCUUUGUUUCUGGUUAUUUGAUGUCGCGCAACUGCUGUUGAAGGAUUGUGGCAAGUGAUGCAGAGCCCUUCCUUGUGAGGUUUAGUUUCGACAAAUGGUUUUGCAGGUUAUCACGUCAUCGUUAUUGGCCUGCUAGUAUAGGGUUUAUGCAGGACUACUUCAUAGGCAAGAUGUUGUUGUUUGUAAUUUGAUGAUGGCUUAUUGGAUGUUACAGGUUUAUGCAAGGUUGUUGUUGGUAUGAUGCGGGCAUUUGAGGGGAAGCAUGGGGCUUGAAAUCAUCACAUGAGCAAUAAUGGCAUUACAGGGAGAGCUUGAACGCAAGGGAAUGGAACAGUUGGCGCAGUCGGGUUAUGAUGUACCAUGGUCUGCGGGGCCGGAACAACAAGGUUUGAUGUUAGGGUCGACAGAAUACCGCUGCAGGUUUGGCUGCUAGCGGAUUGUUGCAAGUCUGCUUGUACGGAUUUGGUCUAAGGAUGCUGGCGCGGGAAUGUCGCGACACGACUCACUGCCGCUGGAAAAUGAUAGUGAAGGCUUGGAGUGUCUCUCAAACCGGACACCGAAAUUCAUAAAGGGACUGAUUCUCCUGAUUAGAAAACAAACCCACUCGGUGCCGUCACUCAGGAGGUAACACCAAGUCACCAUUGGAUCCUCGUCUAACUGCUGAUGUGCCUUGUUGCAGUCCACCUGCACUAUCUUCCAUAUAGAGUUAGAUGUCCCACUUGCAAGACUUCCAGGCUUCACAGAAUCAAACGCUUACUUUGCUUGAUGUCCACUUUUUGUUUACAACUUAUAACAUGGUGUCUUCAAACAAUUUUGCAUCGGAAUAGGCUGCCACUGAUUUAUAAUUGUCGACUUUUGUGGUGAUGUGGCCUAAAAUAAACAUGUACAUAGUUUUGCAUUAUGUCUUUAGUGUAAUGAAUCUUGUACUAUGUGGUUUAGAUAGUGGAAUUUUUUAAUUCUUAUCAUUAAAUCUGAAUGGGAUUUGGGAUCUGUUGUAAGGAGAUUGGAUGGGUGUGAUUUUGGGAUUUGAUUGGGAUUGUAAUGAAUGGUGUAAUUUUGUGUUACCUCUAUGGAAUGAUUGGAAUUGGAAUUCUGUUGUGCAUUUUGUAACUUUUUGGUUUGAAAUAUUUGGUUUGAGUCUAAUGGUCAUGGAUGGGAUGAAAGGCUAUAAUGGAAAUUGGUUAUAGAAUAGUUUUGUAUUAGAAAUAACUAGUAUUGUAAGUGGUCAUUGAAUAGUUUACGAUCGUGUAAUGAGCGAAUAUGGUUUGAAAAGUUGUUUGAAAAAUUUAAACUGAACAUGGUAUGUGGUUUGAAAGUGACUUUGGUUUCACGAUUGAUCAUGAUAGAUCAAAGAAAAUUAAAGAUUAGGAAAAAGUGUCGAUUGACUCUGGUCAACUGGUUAACAAAAAAACAACAGUUGACCAAAAGUCACCUUAAGUAAAAGUGUGUAUUUUCUUAUGGAUAGUUGAAUAUGUGCCUCUUAAAUACUCCAUGCUAAGAAUAAACUCAGAUGCAUACCAACCAAUCAGCAUAUCACGGCCAUGUAAAGCUUUGAAUGAAUCCCAAUCGAUGAAUCAGGACCAUGGAUUUUCUAAGCACAGGAACCAUCCGUAAUGGAUCAGAUGAACCAGACGAAAUCUCAAUUUUUAGUGUAUAUCCCAUGAUGCUGAUGCCAUAGUUAUAAACCAGGGUUUUCACCCCCCUCAAAGUAGAUCACGUGAUUCCUGACCUUCUAACGCUUAGGGUUUUGAUGAAUCCCGAAUCCAAGGUCAAUUGAGCAAAGCACUUGAACACAAAUUAUCCCUGAUUAGGGUUUUAAGCCAAUCACAAAGCUCCACCAACAACUCCUCAAAUCAUGGGCCCACAACUAGGAUUUUAGAAGCCCGAUCUAUGCACAAAAACCAAACAACAAGAACUCUCAAGACCAAGAAUCAGGGUUGCAACCCACACGAUGCGCGAUACUAAAAUCUUUAAUCCAAUCCUGCUAUGGGAAACAAGAACCUUGAAUCUAUGAUGUUUGUUAGUCGAAGUUAACCAUGAAUGAAUGAUGAAUAUGAGUGAGACAUGAAUGAGGUUAGGUGGAUCUCAGGUUACGGAUUAGAUGAAAAAGCAAAAUGGGGGCAAAUUUUGGGGUACUACAGUUGCCCCUAUUUAAUUUUCUUGGACCUUAAUACAGGAAUUGCGGAAGCUUUUCAUGUAUUCAAGGUAGAAGAGGAUUAAAUACCUACGUGCCCGAAAUUCGUCGGUCCAAAUGAUUGACUUUGUUACCAGUGGGGAGGAUACGUCUUAUGCAAUGCAUGAGGUAUGCUUUUUUUUAUGAUGCAUGCUUUUGCAGGGAUGAGUCUUUAUUAUGGUCGGGAUUUCGACUCAUCGUCAAGAAUUAGGACACGAUCACCAAGAAGUUUCGAUUGGUGCAAACACUACCAUCACGGAACCCCCUGCUUGCUAAGGAACACUGACCAGCUGGAGUCCCCAGGGUGCCCCAGUCAAUUGGAUGUAACAGGCAUCCAAGCAACACUAUUGUUGAGUCACCCAUCACCUAUCAGGUUUAUCGGAUUUCAACGGUAAUGCAAAUUAUUUCUCUUUAAUGUAGCCUUUUAUUAUUCCCCAAAAUUUUAAAGCAUUAUAUGAUUUAAGACAAGUCAGUUAUUUUGCAUACAAAACAUUGAACAACACAUUGGAUGGAAUAACUGAACUUUAUUGAGGAUUAGAGACCCACCUGAGAAGGCCUUCUUGACUACGAACGGUCCCUCAUAGUUGGGAGUCCAUUUGCCUCACGGGUCCGAGUGAAUGGCAGAAUAUCUUUUGAGCACGAGGUCUCCAGCGUGGUACGACCGGGGAAGAACCUUCUUAUCAAAAGCUUGUUUGAGACGCCUUUGGUAUAACUGACCAUGACAGACGGGCGUCUAACGCUUCUCUUCAAUUAGAUUCAGUUGGUCAUAUCGAGAUUGAACCCAUUCAGCUUCAUCAAGAUCUGCUUCUAUGAUGACUCUGAGUGAAGGAAUCUCAACUUCGAUUGGUAGAUCAACCUCCAUCCCAUAAACCAGAGAGUAUGGAGUUGCCCCAGUGGAUGUGCGGACUGAGGUUUUGUAACCAUGCAAGGCGAAAGGUAACAUCUCAUGCCAGUCCUUAUAUGUCUUGACCAUCUUCUGGACGAUUCUCUUGAUAUUCUUGUUAGCUGCUUCUACGACGCCAUUCAUCUUGGGCCGGUAUGGUGAAGAGUUGUGGUGCUCGAUCUUAAAUUCUUCUCAUAACUCCCUCAUCAUAGUAUUGUUCAGAUUACUGGUGUUAUCAAUGAUGAUCUUGCUAGGUAUCCCUUAGCGGCAGAUUAUCUUUUUCUUGAUAAACCGGGUAACCACUUGUCGAGUGAGAUUGGCAUAUGAAGCAGCCUCGACCCACUUCAUGAAGUAAUCAAUAGCGACUAGGAUGAAUCGAUGUCCAUUGGAAGCUUUAAGUUCGGUCAUCCCAAUCAUAUUUAUGCCCCACAUAGAAAAGGGCCAUGGAGAAGUUAGGACAUUCAACGGAGUUGGUGGUACAAAGAUCUUAUCACCAUAUAUCUGGCACUUAUGGCAUUUUUUCACAAAGUUGUAGCAAUCAACCUCCAUUGUUGUCCAAUAAUAACCAACUCGGAGAAUCUUCUUAGCCAUAGCAGGACCUUUCGUAUGUACACCCUCACAACCUUCGUGUAUGGACCUUAUGAUUGUACUAGCUUCGUGUCUAUCCACGCAUCUGAGCAGUACAGAAUCAUAAUUCCUCUUAUACAACACAUCACCAUUUAGGAAGAACUUAGAAGAGAGUCUUCUUAGAUCCUUCUUAUCGAUAAUGGAUAUACCCUCAGGGUACUGUCGUUUCUCCAGAAAUGUCUUUAUGUCAUAGAACUAAGGCUUAUCGUCAGGAUCAACCUCAAUUGCUAGACAAUGUGCAGGUUCAUCUAAGUGGUCAAUCUGGACGGAUGGUGCCUCAUUCUUCCAUUUGACUUUAAACAUAGAUGCCAGCGUAGCUAAAGCAUCUACUAACUGAUUUUCUUCCCUAGAAAUAUGAUGAAAGGAGAUCUCAUCAAAGUAAGGGAUCAGUUUUCUGAUAUGCUCUUUGUAGGGUAUCAACUUGCUAUCUCGAGUCUCCCAAUCGCCUUUCACUUGACUGAUUACUAGAGCUGAAUCACCGAAUACCUCAAGGAUUUUAAUUCUCAAGUCGACCGCCGCCUCUAAACCGUAGAUACAUGCUUCGUAUUCUGCCAUAUUGUUGGUGCAGUCAAAACAUAAUCUGGCGGUAAAGGGGAUGUGGAAACCAGUUGGAGAAGUGAUAAUAACACCUAUACCAUGACCUCGGGCAUUGGAAGCACCAUCGAACACGAGCGUCCAUCGCGAUCCUGGUUCGAGGCUUACCUCGAAGCCUGGCAUAGUAAAACCUCUGAUAAACACGAUGUCCUCAUCUGGAAAGUCAAACUUUAAUGAUUGGUAGCCUUCAACAGGCAGGUGAGCUAGAUAGUCAGACAUAAUACUCCCUUUUAUUGCUUUCUGGGUCACAUAUUGUAUAUCAUACUCGGUGAGCAGCAUUUGCCACCGGGCAAUUCUUCCAGUAACAACAGGUUUUUCAAAUAAGUACUUUAUUGGAUCCAUCUUGGAUAUCAAUAAAUUAGUGUGGCAAAUCAUAUAUUGCCUCAGGCGUCGAGCAACCCAAGUCAAGGCACAACAAGUCUUCUCUAAAAGUGAGUAUCGGGUCUCACAUUCAGUGAAUUUCUUGUUGAGAUAGUAGAUAGCAUGUUCUUUCUUUCCUGUGUCGUCAUGUUGACCCAAAACACAACCCAUAGAUUCAUCCAACACUGUCAGGUACAUGAUGAGUGGUCUACCAGGAACCGGUGGUACCAGGAUUGGUGGUUCUUGUAAGUACUUCUUUAUUUUGUCGAAUGCCCAUUGGCAAUCGUCAUUCCACAUAAUCGAUUGAUUCUUUCUCAACAACUUGAAAAUCGGUUCGCAGGUAGCUGUCAGGUGAGAUAUGAAUCUGGAGAUGUAAUUAACUCGCCCAAGGAAACCUUGGACUUCCUUUUCUGUUCGGGGAGCUGGCAUAUCUUGGAUGGCUCAAACUUUGUCGGGAUCAACCUCAAUACCCUUCUGACUGACUAUGAAACCCAGAAGUUUAUCUGAUCGGACUCCAAAAGUACAUUUGGCUGGAUUCAGACGCAGUUUAAACUUUCAGAGUCUGACAAAUAACUUUCUCAGAUUGACCAAGUGAUCUUCCUAAGUUAUGGAUUUGGCAAUCAUGUCGUCCACGUAAACCUCAAUCUCUUCAUGAAUCAUGUCGUGAAAGAGUGUUACCAUGGCAUGUUGAUAUGUUGCCCUUGCAUUCUUCAAGCCGAAUGACAUGACUUUGUAGCAGUAAGUUCCCUCAGGCGUGAUAAAGGUUGUCUUCUCCAUAUCAUCUGGUGACAUCUUUAUCUGAUUGUACCCGGAGAACCCAUCCAUGAAAGAAAAGACAGAGAAUUGAGAUGUGUUGUCAACCAAAACAUCAACAUGAGGCAAAGGGAAGUCAUCCUUUGGAUUGGCUCUAUUGAGGUCUCGAUAGUCUACACACAUUCUGACUUUACCAUCUUUCUUAGGAACUGGAACGAUAUUAGCAACCCAUUGCAGAUACUCAGAAAUGGCUAAGAAACCAGCAUCUAGUUGCUUUUUAACCUCUUCCUUGAUCUUGAGUGCCAUAUCGGGUAUGGUCCUUUUGAGCUUCUACUUAACUGGAGGACAUUCAGGCUUGAGUGGUAGAUGAUGUUCAACAAUGCUGGUGUCUAACCCUGGCAUAUCCUGAUACGACUACGCGAAGACGUCCACAUAUUCACGUAACAGAUCUACCAACUCGGAGUGUACAUGCUUAGCGAGAGAUGCCCCUACUUUCACCUCUUUUUUGUCAGUUUCAGAACCCAAAUUAAUGACAUCCACUGGUUCUUUGUAUGGCUGAAUCUCUUUCUCCUCGUGCUCAAGGAGUCGUGCUAGUUCAGUUGGUAAUUCGCAAUCUUCCUCACUAUCAUCUUCAGCUCGGUUGAUUGGAAGUCCAGAUUCAUAGUUGAUUUUAGCCAUGUUGUAAUCGGUGAUUUUAUUUUCUCUGCAUAUGAUGAGCUUAUUUUAGUAUUCUUUUUAUUUUUGAGAAAAAGUGGAAAAAAGAAAAAGAAAUCUUUUGCCAUUUCGUUGUUUUUAGUGAAAACAAAAAAUAUCUGAAAGAAAAGGAACACGAGUUUUGCAUGCAAAAAAGUACUUUUAUUUAUUCACAUAAUACUUUUAAACAUGGGGGUCCUUACAAGUUGUCCUCUCGUCUCGGGCAAGGACGAGGGACGGAGAAAACAAAAUGCAUUACGUUUUUUCCAAGUACACCAUAGGUAUCACGGUGGCCAUCCAGUUGGGAAGCUUGAAUCCUGGAGGACAUCUGCGAACAAGGCUGGAUGCCCCUGGCUUGCUACCACUGGACUCUUCGAUGACCGCUACGGUAUGCUCAUUUUGAUAGUCGGCGCUGUUGAACUUGACCGGGUUGAAUUGCUUUUUCUUUGGACUCACCUUGCAUGUUGCUGGGUGAUAACCAAUACCAAACUUGUCGCGCUUUUCUGCCACAUUGACGACCUUACCCCAACCAGGAAGAGGGCCUUUCUCCAAUGUCUGCUUGGCACUCUUCGCUGAGGAUAUGAUGGUAGCAGAUGAUUGAUUGUUGUUGGCGGAUGCAGAACUGACAUUUUCAAACUCUAGGCAGUGGAGCAGAACCUCGACGAUCCCCUCAUCUGUUUCGACAUAUCUGAAAGACGAAAGUUCACUGACCAGCAAAUCCUCUUCACCACACAUAAUUACCAGCUUGUCAUCUAUCAAGUACUUCAGCUUCUGAUGCAAAGUAGAAGUGACUGCCCCAGCGACAUGAAUCCACGGUCGACCCAACAAACAACUGUAGGCUGGAUUGAUGUCCAUGACUUGAAAAGUAAUAUCAAACUGGUGUGGUCCAACACAAAUCGGCAAAUCAACCUCCCCAAUUACCUUCGGGAACCAUCGAAAGCUAUGACGAUCAGUGCACUGGUUCUCAUCUCGGGCCCCUUAAACUGUAACUGACUUAAUGUAGAUUUUGGCAAUACAUUAAGCGAGGAUCCAGUAUCAACAAGGACUCAGGAUAAGAGAGAGUCAGUACAUGUGACCGAAAUAUGUAGUGCUUUGUUGUGGGCCUUUCCCUCAGGAGGUAACUCUUCUUCAUUAAAUCCCAGAUACCUACUAGCGAUGAUGUUGGCAACCACGUCGUCAAAUUGAUCGACCGUGAUAUCUUGCAUCACAUGAGCGGUAUUUAGAACUUUCAACAAUGCUUUGCGAUGAGCCUCAAAACUCAAUAGCAAAGACAAAAUGGAUAUUUUAGAAGGCGUCUGAUUCAACUGUUCCACAAUCUUGAAGUCAUUCUUUCUGAUCAAUUUGAGGAAUUCCUGACUUUCCUCAAAGGUGAUACUCUUCUUGUGAUCCUCAGACUGUUCUUUUUCAACCAUCGGCCCUUUCCCUUUGGAUACUUUGGCCUCUGCAACUUUGUCAUUGUCAAUAACUCUCGUCACCACCGGAGCAGCCGUCACGGUCGGAGUGGCGAGUACAGUUGUCUUUGCCUGCGGUGUGGGCGUAGGAGUUGCCUGCUCUUUAAGUGAGACAAUUGUGGGUGCUGUAGACACCAUAGGAAUGUAUUUAGGAGCAAAUACACGGCCACUUCGAGUCAUGCCUCCCUCUCCAGCGAUAUUGAUGAUCUCUGUAUCAGGAAUGCAGAUUUCUUUCCCUCCCAUUUACGAUGUAGUCUCAUAAUUCCAAGGCACUACCUUGGUGUUCUGAUACGGAAAUGGAGUUGGGACGCGGAAAUGGAUCGGCUGAAUCCUCUUGGGAGGAGCUUCAACCUUCUUCUUCCUGUAUACAAUUGUUAUCGGUUCAAUCACUCUACCUCUUCUGCUGCUUGAGCUUUAGAGAAUUGUAUUAAACCUUGGUCCAUUAGUGCCUGCACGCACUCUUUCAACUGCUCGCAACUAUCGGGAUCAAACUCACAUACUGUACAAUCUUCAUGCACCUCUUCUAAAAACCCAAAUUGUUCAAGUUUUUGUAACACAACAAACAUCGGAGUCUUCACCUCUUCAACUUUCAGUACGACCUCAGCAUUUACCUCCUCAAUGACGGCGUUGACUGACGCGCCGCUAUGAUUCGGCAAAGGAUUGGUCUUUACAUUCGGUUUCUUUGGUAUGAUUGCCCCCACAUGAACCAGAUUGAGGACUAAUUCGGAGUACGGCACCGGGAUUUUGUCAAACUGGGGGCGGUUCCCAAAAUUGUUCCCUCGGUUCUAUGCUCGAUAUUGUUGGUUUGGAUUUCUCUGAUUGGAUGUUGAUGUUCGAUUGUCUCUCUGCGGUUGAUAUUGGAAAGGCGGCUGUUGGUAUUGAGUUGCGGCAAUGUACUUGUAUGGAUAAUACGGCAUAGGGGUUGUCGGAACUCAAUGUCGGGGGAGAGCCUUCGCCAUCACAGUGUUUGCUUCCCCCUCCUUCUUCUUCGUGAAGCCCCCAUGCGGUCUUUUGUUGACUGACUGCGACGCGGUCGUGUCCGUUAUUUUCCCCGAUUUCAACCCACUUUCAACACGUUUUCCAAUUGUGACCAUAUCGGCGAAGUUUGUUGAUGAACUGCCAAUCAUUUUCUCAAAGUACAGCCCAUGCAACGUGCCCAUAAAUAUGUCAACCAACUCAUUGUCAGGUAGUGUUGGUCGAACCCUAGACGCCAUUUCGCGCCACCGUUGAGCAUACUCUUUGAAGGUUUCAUUAGACCUUUGUGACUAGUUCUGUAGUUGGAGCCUUGUCGGAGCCAUGUCAAGGUUGUAUUUGUAUUGUUUCAAGAAUGCCUCAAAGAGCUCUCUCCAUGAUCGGAUCUUCGAGUGCUCCAAACUCAUAUAGCAAUCCAAGGAAGCCCCAAUCAGGCUGUCUUGGAAGCAAUGAAUCAGGAGGUUGUCGUUAUCAAUAUGCGAAGCCAUCUUCCUGCAGUACAUGGUGGGGUGACUGCGAGGACAGCUAAGACCAUUGUAUUUCGGGAGAUCAGGCACUUUGAACUUCUGGGGUAACACCACGUUCGGGACCAAGCAAAGGUCUCGAGCAUCUAUCCCAAAAGAAGAGAAGCCCUCAAUGGCCCUUAUUCUGUCGUCCAGGAGUUGGUAAUCUGCUGGUCUGGCCAGAUAAACAACAGGAGGAGCGACCUGACUAGCCGGUCGAGAGGCUUCAGGAGCAAUUGGCGCUGACAUGCUCGGAUUGAACCAUAUUGGCGGGUAAGAAAAACCUGUUGUCACAGUCUGAGCAGCAGUGGGGGGUUGAAAGUAUUGCAUCCCAGGUUGAGCAUUGGGAGUCUGAGGUGCCCCUGUCUGCAUAUACUGGGAUGCAGGAGUCAUCAUCAUGGGCACAGGUCCUGCCCCUGGGUAGCCAAAAGGGACGGGGAUCUGGCCAGUGCUCGUAGCUUGAGCAGUCUGGCUGGGCAGUUGGAAGUGGAGGCGCGGGCCUCGAUAGUCUUCAUCAUCAUUGGGGAGGUCGUCAAGGACCUGGCCCUGGUUGUCCUCCGGGUCAACAACAAUGACCGGAGUAGUGUGGAGAGCAGGGAGAACCCAAAGAAAACCAGAGUUUCCUGCAACGGUGGCGAGAGCCGAGUGAGGGAAGAAAGCUCCCCCACUAGUGAGGUUGACAGCAAGGUGAGGAGGCAUUCCCCACAGGUAGGCAGCAGCAAGCCUAGUGGGAUCCGCGGGUACCACCUGGCGGUUCCCAGUGUUGGGCACCAUAGUUUCUGCCGGAGGAUCAACGGUAGUGCCAGCAGUAGCAUCAGAAAUGGUCACCCCAGCAGCACGGGUGACAUUGGCAGCAGCAUAGGCAGGGUUCCUCUGAGAUUGGAAGAGCUCCAGGAUGGUCUCCAUAUUGCCCCUGAAGACAUUCAUCUCUCCUUGCACCUGGGCAAGGGAUUCACGAACAGCAACAUUGUCGGCUUCGUAUUCGGCCAUGAUCUUAGCUUUGCUUGAACGUUUGUAGUACGAGUGACGAGUCGUCGUUGUUGCUGCAGUAAAACGGCGAGUGUAAGCAUUUUGUUUUCUGACAGCUUUAUGCUAUGAAUGUAAUAUAUGCAUGUUUAACAAAUAGAAAAAAUAUUAUUUCUAGGGUGUUAGUGUGCCAGUGUGCAUACAUAGUCAUACAGUGAGCAAGGAUAAGACAACAUAAGCAUUUCAACAAAAUCUCUUUUAUUCAUUUGAAUGACAAACAGUACAAAUUAUUACAACUCGAGGUCAUUUCGAUGCACUAGCAUGAAGAUCAAAUUUGAUCAUUCCCAUAACAACCCUACAUACAGAAACAAAAUGAAAAACAGUCUUCGGGGUGUUCUGAGGAAACAUGUCAGCAUAGGCCUUCUUCAAUAACCCAGGAAGGUCCUCGAGUGAUUGGCUAGCAAAUUCGGCCAAGCGAGCAUGUCUGUCUGUCCAAUACUGGGCAUCUCUGACGAGGUUAUGUAUUAAGGAAAGACUUGGUCCAUUCAAGAUGUCUUGUACGAAUUCUUCCUUCUAGUCUAAGAGAACUUACAAGUGAUGACUCUGAAUUUCCCAUUGGGUAGCUUCCUCUUGCAGCUGCUUCCUUUUCUCCAAGUUUUGAUGGGCAUGGCGAUUCAAGGAUCGUAUCUCUUCAAACCUUUUUGUCAAUGUCACUUUGGAGUUAUGCGAGGGUUGUUUCUAGCUUCUUGGCGCGAUCUUGCUCAUCCUUCAACUCCUUUAGCGAUUUCUCCAAUAGGUCUUGUAGAGAUUUGAUUUGACCUUGGUAGUCAAUCUCUCGCUUGCAGGCACGAUACUGGGCUUCAGCUAACUCUUUCUUCUUGUUCGUAAUGGUCUCAAAAGACCCUUUUAGAGCAUCUCCCACCUUUCUCCUUUUGUUUUGCUCAAUCUGGAUGUCAGUAUCUGCUUUGUUGAACCUUUCCCUCUUUUGACUGAGGCUGGCCUUCAGGGUAUUCUUCUCUGAGGUGACUUUUAUCAGGCUGGAACGAAGACCGGCGUUCUCUUUUUUCAACUUCUUGAUGAUUUCCUUGAGGCGAUCCACUUCAGAAGUGACAGCGACAAAUGGCUUGGGGGCUUUGAUGCACAUGGAAGGUUCCCACGGGUAUGGCAGUUUGAUCAACUUGGCCCUUGACUUCACCCAAUUAGCAUAGGAGGUAGUCACAGUACACAGCUGUUUGCCCAGGUCUUUCUUUCCCACCCGCUGUAUUUUGCCCCACGCUCUACGUACUUUCUUCAUCAGCUCUAGACUCUCAACCCCUUCGGCCAACAACAUCUCUUCCAACAAACGGUCUUCAGGUUUCUCUUUGAGCAAAUAUCCCAAUUGUCGUAAUAAGAGGACAGGAUUAUAGUUUAUCACACCCUCUUUUGUGCUGACAAGAGGAACGUUUGGGAACUCCCUACAUCGGAAUAUGAACUCCAUUCUCAAGUAAUUGAGACUAAACCAGACGACGCCCUCAGCAUCUAAUGACAUCAACCUUUGUGACCAUUUCAGAUCACCCACAUUAUCAACAAACGACCCUUUCUUCAGAAGAUGGGACAUAAUCCAUUUCUGAAGCAAAGGAAUACAGCAAUUGAUGGUUCCCCCUUUCUUCAUAUUUCUCCAAUGGAAGGAGAAGAAUACAUUAGCUAGUAAGGUGGGAACCAGGUUCUGGGAGAUGAAUAUGGUGAUAGCGGUCUUGUCAACGAAACCUUCAACAUUCGGGAAUAACACCAAUCCAUAGAUGAGUAAUGCAAAGCUGGCGUAAAAGGUGUCCCAGCUUCCAUUGCUGGCAAAUAUCACAGCAUUCUCAAAUAAGAAUUUGGACGGUAGGCCCUACGUGUUACCCUUGACUCGGAGCGUAGCCUCAACUAGAUCAUUCUUCAUGCACAAGGCCUAAGUUAUAUCUGCUGAAUCUAGGAAGUCUUCAUCAAUCAUGUAGGGUGCUUGGUUCUUGACUGGCAACUGUAGUAGAUAAGCAAACUCCUCUAGUGUGGGAGCUAGAAGGAAGUCCUGGAAUGUGAAGCAGUGCAAGGUGGGGUCAUAGAACUGUGCAAAAGUAAACAUCAACCUUGAAUCUUCCUUGGUAUUUAAAAUCCCCAACAGAUUGCCAUAGGCUCGCUUGAAGGCUACUCGGUAAUCUUCGGUAAGGCACUCGCUGAGCUUCCUCAACUCGUCAACCUUGGAGUCUCUUAAUUUAUAUUGAUAGGUUUUUCUUCGGUCGGUCUUAUCCAUGGUUGUACUGACACUAGCAACUGGAACAGUAGGUCCCUGAAAAAUGCAAAUGUAACAUGUAAUGGUUAAUGCAAUGAUGUAAUGAUGUUAUGUGAUGCAAAUGAUGACAGGAUGUCACAUAGUCAGAAUUCUGGCAUUCGCUGGAUAGACUGCAUAAUCUGUUUGUUGCAGGUUCAAAAGUUCGACAUAUGCACAAGAACACGAGUAUGAAGAGUCUUAGUUUCCUGCAAGAAAGACCCAUAUCCCCUCACAAGUGUGUGCUAUCUUUAAAGGGUGGUCCUAGAAGGUUCCUAGAGUCAAUGACCCAAUUUGAGAUACCAUUGUCUUGGACGAAUGACUCGUCGGACAAUGAUGCUCCCAAAAGGAUCUACUCUAGGUGUGACGUCUCGUGUCAACCAUAAUCAUGGAAUAACUCUACGGACGUCAAACAUGACUUUAGUCACGUUACUAUCCUGUGUGUAUACUCAAGCUCGGGUAUAGAGCUUCUCUCUCGUGUAUCAACAUCCCAACCCAAACAACAGCGCAUACAGAUAUCCAGGAUGCCAGAAUGCAUUAAUAAAGUAAAUAGCAAAUAAAAUAAAGCGAGUAUGGUAUAAAGAUGAACACCUAGAAACUAGCGAGGAAACAACCUAAACUAGGCUCGACUCCUUCUAGCGACUAGGAAGUACUCCAAGUAGCGAAGUAUCCCCAGCAGAGUCGCCAGCUGAAGCUAGCAGAAAUAUACCCGAACGUAUCGCAUGCUCGAACAUACAACAGAGUCGCCAUCGAACUUUAUUUAUCCCCAAAGGGAAGGGAAAACAUCGGUAAAACCCAGGGGAAGAGAUAUACUGGGUAAGGAAGUCGGUUAUGUAAGGGGAAGGUAUUAGCACCCCAAACAUCCAUGGUACUCCAUGGGAACCGUUUUGAUUGUUCUCGCUCGAAUAAGUGUUAACUAGAGAUUACUCGCAAAAGAAUAAGGGGAAGGAAAGAAAUAGAUUAAGUGCUCGGUGAGGAUUGGGGCCCUCAUGCCUAUGUAUCCUCAUAAUGCAAUAAGGAAUUCAGAGCUCCCUAGUUCAGAGAACUAAUGGGGCAGGAGGUGGAAAGAAGUGUGAUCAAAGGUAUGGUCUGAACCAAAAGAUAAUAUUGUUUGAACUCCAACAAGGGGUGAAAAUGUGGACCCAAGAGUGAACAGGUUGUUUGAACCGACAAAUGAGGGUGUAUAGCACUUAUAGCACUGUCUGGAACAACCGAAAAGAGGGGAAUUAGGUGUUUGGGAUAAGCGCCAAACAACUCUUGGUUCACAAGGAGGUACAAGAUGGAGCACAAAGGGAUAUUGUAUUUAGCUCAAAGAUAACUGGUAUAUCACAUGAAGUGAAAGAAGGUAGAGCAUGAAGGUAUCAUGGGAAUGAAUGGAGUGAAGUGACUGAAGUCACAUAAUAGAGUAUCUGGUAAUGAGUGACUGGAUAAGUAUUGUUUGAAAUCGAAAGGUGAAAGUGUAUUGGAAUCCAUAAGAGAAGUGAGAUUUCUACCAUAGAGGAAAACCGCGUUAACCAAUAUGUGGACUAGCGGACCGCCACUGUAGGGUUUUAGCUAAAAAGAAGGAAUUAAAUGUUUGGGAUUAGCGCCAAACAACUCUACGCAUGAAAUGUGGACUGUAUCAAGUGUCCUAAAAGAAUGUGUAUGGAAUACCAAAGAAGGUGUAUUUCGAUGUCAAAGAGACAGUAUGUCACUGGAUGAACGAUUUAUGAUCGAAGGUAGAUAGUGAAUUAUGAAAGAUAUGAAUGGUGCCCUAAGGCGAAGGAUGAAUAAUUAGAAGUAUGCUCACCAAGGAUUCGCAUCCUCGUACCUACGUAUUCUCAUUGUGCAAUGAGAAAGUCAGAGCAUUCGUAGUUCGGAACUACGAGAAUGGAAAGAGAGAUUGGUAGUAUGGAGUGCAAGGAGUAGUGUACCACUUGCUGGUGAAUUGGCAAUUCGAGAUCAAAUCAGGAUAGUAACUUGGAUCCAAGAGAAGGAUAAACUCUUAAUCGAAGAGCAAGGAUGAAGUUAGCAUUUGAGUUGAGAGCCAAACAAGGAUGAGGUUAAUGUUUGGGAUAAGCGCCAAACAAAGGUGAAGUUAGUGUUUGGGAUAAGUGCCAAACAAAGGUGAAGUUAGCGUGUGGGAUAAGCGCCAAACAAGGAUGAAGUUAGUGUUUGGGAUAAGCGCCAAACAAAGAUGAAGUUAGUGUUUGGGAUAAGCGCCAAACAAACCUCGAUUGAAGAGACGGGUUGUCCUUAGGACGUCCUAAAAGGAAGGACAAGGAGUCCAAGGAGAAGUAAGAUUGAUCUUGAAAAGAUGGUAUAGAUUGCAUGAAUGGAGAGUGAUCCAUGGGAUAGAGAAGAUAAAUUGAUAAAUAAGAUAGAGCUCACCAAGAAACCGGGUUCUCCUGCCUACGGAUCCUCAUUGUGAAAUGAGGAAAUCAGAGCUUUCGUAGUUCAGCCCACUAGGGAUGAAAAGAAAUUGAAUGGAUGCAAGAGGAAAUGGAUGAUUGAGAUUGAAUUGAAUAGAAUGAUGAAUUAAGUAUGAGAAUGAAGCGAUAAGAGACUUGACAGUCAAUUGAUCACACUAAAGUCUAUGAAUAAGGGCGAACGCUUUGAAUAUUUAGGGCAUACGCCCCAUACGCAAAGUCGCUCUAGACAAGGGUAGGAGAGACUCCCUCUCAUCAUUUCUUAUCACUUAAGACUUGAAAGGCAUGAUACUUAUCUUGACUGACAAGUUGCUGGUGAAGAACCUUUGUUGUUGAUCCUUGUGUUGAUAUUGAACUUGUGUGAAGACUUGGUAGUUUAAUUGAUUCAUCUUGCACUAAAGUAUAUGAAUAAGGGCGAACACUUUGAAUAUUUGGGGCAUACGCCCCAUACGCAAAGUCGCUCUAGACAAGGGUAGGAGAGACUCCCUCUCAUCAUUCCUUAUUACUUAAGGCUCAUUUCGUACAAUUUGAAUCGUUUUUACCAAGUGUUGACCUUUGAAUUGUCUUGUAUAAUUCGCUGCUUGGUAUGACUGGGGAUGCCUUGAUUGAAGAUCUUGUCUCGAGGCCUUGAGCUCCACAGCGUGAAAGAAAAGUCCUACUAAGUGACCAAGGUGGUCACUCAAUUAGAUUGUGGGAUUAUAUAAGUUCAAAGGAUUUAACUAAUCAAAAUUGCUUUUGAUCAAUUUAAUCGGGGGUUUUGUUUUAGUUUUGAAGGGAACUAAUUUUUGGAUCUAAUUGAAGUUAGUCAUUGUUAGAACUAACCUAAGGGAUCAUGUAUUGAAAUUGAUUAAAAUUCUAUGUUAGAAGUCCUAAGGGAGCAUGUCAAAAUAUUGAUUAAAAUCAUUACUAAAAUUCUAUGUUAAGUCCUACAAUGAUUGCAUUCUAACCCUAAGGAUCAAAAUCAUUAUGAUUAACCUAAUUCCUAAUCCAACUAAAUCACAUUAAUAUCUAAUUAAACCUAUUUAAACAAACGAUUCUAUGUUAACGCCCAAUUGACAAUAAAGCCAAGAAAAUCCUAUUUCCUACCGAGAUAAAAAAUGAUGUAAAUUCUAAUCAGAAAAACAAAGUUAAUCAACAAAAAUUAACUAUGAUUAGUGAAUUAACUAAGACCAAGAAAAUCCUAUUUCCUACCGAGAUAAAAAAUGAUGUAAAUUCUAAUCAGAAAAACAAAGUUAAUCAACAAAAAUUAACUAUGAUUAGUGAAUUAACUAAGAAAUUUAAUGGUGGACAUGAGUAUUGGGCCAGGGGUGAAUUUUGAAUAGGGUUGAAACAAGCAAAGGCUAGUUUGUUCGGGCCAAAGGCCCAAGCCUCACUAAGAAUUCGUCCGGGUUUCAAGAUCCCUACGAAAUCUCCAAGAAUUGGCCAGUCGAAAUUCUCCACCGAAAUUCCAUGAACGGAGUGAGAUGCACCUCACCGGAAGCUGACAGCGUCCUCCCCACGACUCUAAGCCAGUGCUUCUUCAAAUCAAAACCCCACUCCGAUCUAACGCUCAACAUGAACCCUGCCGAACCACACACCCAAAUUUAAAACUCAAUGGCAACAAAAGCAAAACUACAUCUUCCUCAUUCGAUCUCAAAUCGGCACUGAGACAACAAACACGGCGCAAGAAAUUCGGAAUCGCUUCGAUCUUGCACGAACAACCCAAAAUUUGACGAAGAUGAACGAAUUCAGUUUUCUCCCUUCAAUUCGAAAACGAAAUUGACGUCGAUUGCGUUUCGAUCCUCUUCUUUGCUUAUCACACUUCAAUUCGCGACAUUGUUGUUGUUUUAAGAUGAAGGAUGUUGGCGCUGCUCCUUUGUCGCGUGCGACAGCGUAUUGAGAUUGAUACGAAGCCUUGCUCGUGUGCGCUUGCGAUGGUUGUUGAAGCGAGGCAGGCGAUGAAGACGUGUGAAGAUUUUGUGGAGAGGAAGGUGACGAAGAAGAUAGGAGAUUGAAGUUUCUUGAAGGUUUUUCAUAGUUACAAAAAUGAAGAAGAUUAGAAGAUGGUGACAAAGCCGAAAGGGAUUAAAGAAUUCUAACAAAAUGGAAGAGCACAGAAUCAUGAACAGGUCGGAGGAAUUGUAGUUGGAAGAUUCAAGCCAUAAUUCCGCUCCCUUCACAUCAAUAGAAUGGACUCAAGGCCAAAACUUCAACCGAUAUCAAGAACAACAUGGAAACGAGGCUAGCAAUUCGCACAAGCAAUGGAAUGAAAACAUGACGCCAUGAGUUAUGAUAAAUCGAAGUAACUUACUAGAAUGAAGCGCCGCGGAGGUUCCGGUGUCGUCGAUGUCGCUCAUAGGUGAGUUUCUCUAUGUGCUUUCUGCAAUUUCCUCUUCUUCUUUCUUCUUCUUCUGAAUUUGCGAACGAUGAAAAGAGACUGGGGAGGCUUAGCUCAAGCAGAAUUGAAGCUUCGAUGUGAAGCUUCAAUGGCUUCUUUAAAAGAGAAAAAGAGCUCUGGUGAUGGCGAGGGAAAAGGUUGCAAGAGAGAGAGAGAGAGAGUGCAGGUUUAUGCCAAAAAAUGCCAAGGGCUCAAAAUGUGAGUGAUCAAGCCCUUAAAUAGAGUUGAGGUUCGGGACUUGCUAGCUUCGUAUAUAGGAAUUAGUUGAGGGUGGCUUGGAGUUAGUUAAACUCAAAUCACUGAGUUAAAUGGAAAAACUAAGUUAGUUAUAUUAGAGAAACUCGGUUAGUUAUGUGUGUAGAUGUUGGUUAGUGAGCGAGUGGGAACUUGACUGGCUACUGCAGGUUACUGUUAGAUUAAUGUCACAUUGGAAGGGUUUUUAUUGACUCGUUGUUUAUGUUGCAGGUUAGGGACUUUGGCUUGGACUUAUGAAAGGCUUUGGUGUGUAGAAACAAAUGAGUACGUUAACUGUGAAUCAAACUGGGUUCUUCUAUAUCAAGUUAGAUGUUAGAUUAAAGAUUUGUAAUGAUAGUUAGCUUAUGCAGGUGUUGCAGGACCCUGUGAAGCUAUGUGAAACCGAGUCAAGCAUUCCAUCUUCCAAACACAAGGAAACGGGUCGCUUAUACCAUAACUUCACUGCACCCUUGGCCAUCGGCGGAGGCUAGCCAUAAACCUUUUGUGACUUGCUCCGGUGUCGGAGAGGAAGUUGUUA
rnacentral:lncRNA from 1 species